ACAUGUAUUUUUGCAUAUAUAAAGAUAACAUUUAUUGAAAAGUUAGAAAAUUCUGUAAAAGCCUGGCCACACUUUUACAGGAUCAAAAGAAUCACAGAUUUUUAAAAUAAAUAUAUAAUCCAGAGGUAAUAAAAGUAUCUAUUUGGUGUCUUAACAUUAGCCAUCCUGAUUCCUAUGCUAAUUUCUUACCUUGUGUAGGAGGACACUAAAAAAAAAAAAAAAUCUGUAUGUGCCUCAGUUUAUCUUUCAUCAAUACAAUACACAGGAGCAUUGUAAUCUAAAGAUUAUAAUCAGCAUUCAAAAAACUCAAAAUAGAAA
rnacentral:lncRNA from 1 species